ACUGCACAUAUCUUAUUUGAAGUAAAAGAACAAACAGGCAAAAAUAUCCAUGGGCUGUAGUUUGAGGACACCUGACAUAGAUCAUUGAAAGUACAGAGUAUGACCAACAAGGAAAAAAAAUCUCUUUCUUUCAAUCCAUACCAUAGACCGAAGCACAAGGGAAGCUGCUGGGCUUCUCCCAGAGUCAGUUCCACAGGUGGUAAGAAAGCAACUUCUUUAAUGGCCAUAGGAUGGACUCACAGGAAUACCAGGUAUACUCAGUGGAAAGCAGUAAAGGCACAGUGAGGGAGAGUAAAGCUCUUCACCUCUUCCCUCCUGGAAAACACAUGUUGGGUACCUGCUCCUUCUCCUAUGCCCUCUCUCUCACACAUAACUGUGGCUGCAACAGAAAAAUCUAGAAAUGUGAAAGACCUGAAUACAACUUCCAUAACCAUCUUCCGGAGACUUGCCCAUUUCUCUCUGGAUGCUAGAGUCUAUGAUUUCUUGCCAUUUCCAGAGAGGAGGUAAUCUUUGGUGCUAAUGACAUCACUGACAGUAAUUCAGAGCAUCCCCAAAACACAAGGUUACUACACAUGAGGCAGUCCCUAAUUUGGGAAUGUCCUUAUUUAAGAAACAGUGUCCUCAACCCAUUGUCCAUGAGGACAUUUCACCAUUUCCAGGGUCCUCUGCUGAAGAUGUACCUUCUUUCCUUCCUCUCCAUCCCACUCAGCCUGAUGCUGCCUGAAAUUAUCUUCCCACUGGAGACUUUCACUUCCACUGCACAAGGUGCGUUCUGCAGUAGAGGAACCAGCAAUAUUGUUGACAACAGGGAAAGACAAUCAAGAGAAAUCUCUCCAUCAUUUUUUCUUACCCCACUAAUAUAAAAUUCUGCUACUUCCAGGAGCCUGGUCCACCAAGCAGCAUCUCCCCGUCUACCGAAACUUCAUUAGGCCUUCCCUCCCUGAAAUGCUGCUCCUCUCCUCUGAGCCCACUUGACCCAACUCCUGUGGUGAAACCCUAGAAGUAGCCAGAAAUCAGCCGCCCCCUGAAAUGUGAUCAAAUCAUAUUUCGGUCCUACAGCACAGAAUGAAGUUGUUCUCUGAAGAGCCCUUAUCUGCCUAAAGGACCUGCCAAAGAAGAAAACAAUUACCUCUGGUCCCUUCCUUCAGUUUUCAUUAGCUGAAUUCAUAUUGCAGGAAGAAAGACUGAGGUCUAUCAACACACCUGGACAGACUUUUGUCACAAAUCACUGUCUACCUUGCAGGCCCAACAGUCAUUGUCCCAAGCCCCUGUAGUUCUUGAAGCCCAUGGAAUUCCCCUAAACAUCAUUUACUAAAUCAUACACAUUUCUCUAUCUCCCUUUCCACUAAGAAGUAGAGUACAAAAACAUCUAUACGCCUCUCAGAUAACAAGUAAUCACUCUGCUUUUCCCCCAGGUACACUAAUAAAUUUGUAUGUCAUUUCUCUCA